UUUUUAUCUCCCGCUUUUUUGUAGGUUCCCAGUAGCUGCAGCAGUGAAAGACAGUGAUUGGCUCCAGUGCUCCCAGAAGGAUUUGGGCUGAAGCCAGGGGAACAGAACCAGAAGAGGAUUCCCUUUCCAGAGACCAUCAGGCUCCUCAUGUCUUGUCUCUCCUCUCUCCCCUCGUGGUGGCUCAGGAUUUCAGUAUGGCUGAGCAGCCCAUAGAGUCAGCUGACAUGGUCAACAAAUUUAUCAAAGAAACCCCCUGGCUUUUGAAGAAUAGUACUUUAUACAUCUGGAUCUGCACAUCAGGCAAAGCUCAGAAAUAUCCGUUUAUUCUUUUAAUCACGCGGAUGUGUCUAUUUUUGGAGGAACAAGGAAACACAUAAAUGCCUGGGUUGCAUUUAUGUUGUAGUUGCAAACACUGAACAGUUAAGAAGAUUUUGCCGAAUUUUGCAAAGCAGCCAA
rnacentral:lncRNA from 10 species